AUACUUACCUGGCAGGGGAGACACCACGAUCACGAAGGUGGUUUUCCCAGGUCGAGGCUUGUCCACUGCACUCCAGGUGUGCUGACCCCUGUAAUUUCCCCACAUGUGGGAAAUUCGACUGCAUAAUUUGUAGUAGUGGGGACUGCGUUCUCUCUCUCUCCUG